AUUGAACGCUGGCGGCAUGCUUUACACAUGCAAGUCGAACGGUAACAGGCCGCCAGGUGCUGACGAGUGGCGAACGGGUGAGUAAUGCAUCGGAACGUGCCCAGUCGUGGGGGAUAACUACUCGAAAGAGUAGCUAAUACCGCAUACGAUCUAUGGAUGAAAGCGGGGGACCGUAAGGCCUCGCGCGAUUGGAGCGGCCGAUGUCAGAUUAGGUAGUUGGUGGGGUAAAGGCUCACCAAGCCAACGAUCUGUAGCUGGUCUGAGAGGACGACCAGCCACACUGGGACUGAGACACGGCCCAGACUCCUACGGGAGGCAGCAGUGGGGAAUUUUGGACAAUGGGCGCAAGCCUGAUCCAGCAAUGCCGUGUGCAGGAAGAAGGCCUUCGGGUUGUAAACUGCUUUUGUACGGAACGAAACGGCUCUGGUUAAUACCCGGGGCUAAUGACGGUACCGUAAGAAUAAGCACCGGCUAACUACGUG
rnacentral:rRNA from 1 species